rnacentral:lncRNA from 1 species
AUGGAAGGAGUGGGAGGAGGAGGUAGCAGGUGUCUUCCUUUCCUGGGUCCUCCUUUUGAAAAAGACAGUAUUUUCAAAGUUAAAGUAACUGGCCUGCUCCUGUGGCAUGGGGCUGAACCCCUCGACGCCCCGGGAGGGAGGGGUCGGGACUUCCCUACCAAGCGUGCCCCUCCCCCCAGCUGCGGGCCGUCGCAGCGCUCGGCCAAGGCCAAGUUAGAGGAUGGAAGUCAUCUUUCAAGGGCGGCCGAUUCUCUGGAACCAGAGGGAUUCCUGGCGUUGGCAGAGAGGGCCGAGUGGAUUCCAAGACUGCUUCUGUGGUCCUCAAGGACUGGAAAAGUCAAGGCCAACAUAUUCUGGGGAAACCUCAUAGGGACCAGAAUCGCAGGACUGAAACAAACAGGGACGGCUGCCGCAGCUCCGGGGGCCCUUUUCCGGGAACCCGGGUCCCACCGCAUCGCUCCACUUCCCGGUGCCUUUCCAGCUAAGUCCCUUUCGGCGGGCCGACCGCUCAGAGCCCGAGCCAAGGGAGCGAGCUGCCGUGUGACCUCUACCUCGCCAUUUCACCUCUUUAUGACUCAGUUUUCUCAUCCAUAAAGUGGAAAGGAGAGUGCGUGGCUUGUCAAGUGAUUUGCGAUUCCCUGGUUGAAAGAUGUCCCCGCGCCUCAGCCCUGCCCCACCCCACAAAAGAAAUCUGGAGCCCUUUCUCUCCCGUCCUCGCUCCUUUAAAUAUCAAAACCAUAACUCCGUUUCCGAUUCCACCUCUUUCCGCCCUUUCCAGGCGAGGAACACCCCUCUGGCCUUCGCAGGCUCCUAGGCCCCACCACACAGUGCAGGGCACCCCCUCCUCUCGACACCGACACCCCAACCCCCACCCAGCCGAAGAGCCCGCGAGGAACCGCGCGGGGCCCGGCCACGCGCCGGCACUGGCGCUCGGGGACCCGCGCGGGGCUUCUGCGUGCGCAAGGGAGGGACGCAGGGCGGGAUGAGUCACGCGGAUAAUCGCGCUCUUCUCCAGCGCGCAGACAGACCGGCGAGCACGUCCCGGAGCGGGGGUGGGGGCGCGUUACCGACCCCCGCCCCCACCAGCCUUCUCGACCCCGGGCUUCGAACCCAGGGAGCGAACGGUGGCCACGCCGACUGCCCUGGUCGCGCGACUGCCGACCCUGCGCCCCGUCCCCCGCGCCCCGCGCCGGGACCGCCGCCGCCACCGCCGCCGGCGUCAGCCCGGCUCCUGCCCGCCAGCUGCCGGGCUGGCGUCACGGCCCGGCCGGGCCCCGCCUGCGCCCCUCCCUCUCCCCCGCCCCCACGUGCGCAGAGUUUGUUUAUCUAGCUGCCAUGGCAACGCGCGGGGGGGCCGCGGGAGGGAGGGGAGAAGAAAGGGGGGGCGGGGCCUGGCGGCGGGCCCCUGCGCUCGGCGGGUAGGAGGCGGGGGAGGGCGGGAGCCGAGAAGUUAUAAGUAAGGAGCGCGCGGCGGCCGCCGGCAGUUCCCCGGCCCGAGAGAGCGAGCGCGGCUGCGGGCGCGCGGGGACCAGAGGCGGUGGCGGGCGGCGGCGGCACCGGGAGCCGCCAAGUGCCCCUCCCCGCCCCUCCGGCC